CAGCUGUCAAAACGCAUUAAAAAAAAUUGUGACGAAGAAAAUGCGAACACAUUCCGCAGAAGUGGUACUAGGUUCUAUUAGCAAAAUAAUUUUGUCCAUCUUAUAAUUGCUAACACUCGUUAUCGUGCUUUGCAAACAUACAGUCCAUCUUUGAUUUCGUGGUAUUAUAUAUCGUUGCAAUAAUUAUCCAAAUGCAAUCUGGUUUGCCCUCCUUCCGUGGUUAUAUUAAAUAAAGCUGAAAUCUCUCUACUCUUUAUUGCCAAUUAAAGUUGACCCAACUGUCUUUUUAUUUCUUUUUGUUUUUCUAACGCUUACGGCAAACAAAGGCAAUAACAAACUUUAUACAAAAUAGUACGGCAAAUUCAAAAAACAAUUAUUUUAAUUUUCUAUUUAUAAACUACUCAAAGUUAUGGAAUUAAAAACCAAUUGUUAACGAAAAAGCCAGGAAACUCAGUAAAAAUAAUAGCAUAAGAAAUUCUUGCCAAAUAUCGUAAUUUUAUAUAAAUUGGCUUAUUUUAUAUUCAAAUACCCUGAAUACUAAAAGGUACCACCUAGUAGGAAAUGGUAAAAGUUUGCUCAGCGCGUUCGGAAAGGGCUAGAAUUAUGAAAGUUUGCGCAAAUUAAAGAGCGUCUCAAAAAAUAAGGUUUGGAAAAAAAAAUUGGCGAAUUCGUACCGGAGAAAUAGUGCGUUUAGUACCGCAAUUGGCAUUGUUUGGUACUUCCUUUACGGAUUGGCCCCCUUAAUGGUUGACUAUAUCAGUUUUUGGAUAUUUGAAGAUUUAAGCAUCGAAAAGUACAAAAAAUGUACGAAGUAGGUGAACUUGGCACAGGGCUAUUGGCGUAGCUAGCACCCCCAAAAUUUUCAUCAACGCAUCGCUUAUCACCCCCUUUCAUCCAUCAGCAAUCAUCUUUGCCAUCAUCUCAUCAACAUAAACCAUCAAGAAACAGGUGUUACAAACAAAUACGCUAAGUUGUAAUACCGUGUACCGCAGUAGUGGUGUAGGGUAUUAAAAUAUGCCUAACGUGUCAUGCUAUGGUGUACCGUUAACGAGGCGACCUUAACAGAAUAACCAAAAGGGGAAGGCCAAGACUCGAUGGAAAGACCAAGUGAUGAAAGACAUCUCCAAACUAAGCGUCAAAGAAAAGAAAAGGAGCUCAAAAGAUCGAGGUGCUGGAAAAUCCAUUCUACACAGAAAAAAUAAAAAUCGAGUUCAAUCACGAAAUUAAUUGAUCCAAAUAUUUUUUAGUUGAAACUGCU
rnacentral:sRNA from 1 species